rnacentral:rRNA from 1 species
CCAGAGUCCUACGGGAGGCAGCAGUAGGGAAUCUUCCGCAAUGGACGAAAGUCUGACGGAGCAACGCCGCGUGAGUGAUGACGGCCUUCGGGUUGUAAAGCUCUGUUAAUCGGGACGAAAGGCCUUCUUGCGAAUAGUGAGAAGGAUUGACGGUACCGGAAUAGAAAGCCACGGCUAACUACGUGCCAGCAGCCGCGGUAAUACGUAGGUGGCAAGCGUUGUCCGGAAUUAUUGGGCGUAAAGCGCGCGCAGGCGGAUAGGUCAGUCUGUCUUAAAAGUUCGGGGCUUAACCCCGUGAGGGGAUGGAAACUGCUGAUCUAGAGUAUCGGAGAGGAAAGUGGAAUUCCUAGUGUAGCGGUGAAAUGCGUAGAUAUUAGGAAGAACACCAGUGGCGAAGGCGACUUUCUGGACGAACACUGACGCUGAGGCGCGAAAGCCAGGGGAGCGAACGGGAUUAGAUACCCCGGUAGUCCUGGCCGUAAACGAUGGGUACUAGGUGUAGGAGGUAUCGACCCCUUCUGUGCCGGAGUUAACGCAAUAAGUACCCCGCCUGGGGAGUACGACCGCAAGGUUGAAACUCAAAGGAAUUGACGGGGG